CGAAGGAUGAGUGGGGCAAGGAAGCCAGAGCCUGCAAAGACAUCAGACUGAGCCCGUGGCAAGAGGAAAGGAGAGAGCCAGAGGAGGGAAGAGAGGCAGAUCUGGGAUAUCCAGUACCAAGAAUAAACCCAGAUGCCUGUGUGGCCGGCCCCACAGACACAGUUCUUUCUGUGUUGGCCCAAGUUCCAGAGCGAUCCUGGAAGCCUCAUGCUGAAGAUGGCUGUGUCACAGAUGGAAAGAACCUGGAUUCCUGAGUCAGAGAAAAGGUGCCCAGAAGAGCCACCUAACCAAGAACACCUACACUGGACUUUGCAUGAGAAAAGAAAUAAAAAUGUUUGUGUUAAAUCCCAGAGAUCUAAACAUUGUUAAAGUGGUUAGAUCACCCUGACUACCUGUGGUUUGCAAUAUUUGAGAUAAGAUAGAGUCUUUCCAUGUUACAUGCUGAAGUGUAGGAGCCCUUGGAGAAGAUAAAUGGAAGAUGAAAGGAAGAGGGAUAAUAAUUUAUGGGUAUUCUUGAGAAGAGAGGAGAUGGGAUCCAGAGUAUAGGAAGCAAUAGCUCCUUCGAGGAGGGAAGGAGGGAUGUCUUUGUUUAAAACAGGAUGGAAGACAUAACUGUGAGUGAGCAGUCAGAAGCCGCCUACUAGCUACAUUUUCUCUGAGAAGUUGGAGGUAAAGACAUCUUAAAAAGUAAAAUGCAUAAUAGCAAUAGCACAAACUAUGGGAGGGUGAUGCAGUUAAACUGUUGCAAAAGUUCCUGCCUUAUUAGGAAGUGGUAAAAUCAGAGGUACUCAUUUGAGGUAGACUGUAACACAUCCAGGAUGCAUACCAUGAUCUCUCGGGCAACCACGAAAAAAAUUAUCUAAAAAUGUAUAACUAAAAAGCAAAUAAAGAAGAAAAAUGGACAAAUGAAAAUGUUUUCAUAUCCAAAAGAAGGCAAGAAAUACUACACAAACACUAAUCAAAGUAAAUUUGAUGUAGGUAAAUUAAUAUCAGACAAAGUAGACCUUAAGGUACAUAUUGCUAGGGACUAAAAGUGACACUUCAUAAUUAUAGAAAGAUAUUUUAAAAUACUACCCAUUUCUUUCUUUCUGUGUUAAGUUCUACAAUUAUCUAAUAAUAGAAUAACUACCUUCAGGUAAGAUGAUAAUUCCAAAAUACCUUGUCAUUUCAAGCACAAAAAUAUGAUGAAACCAAUUUUUAUAAAAUUACUGUUUAUCCAUGCAUAAUAUUAGACUUUUUAAGAAUGAUACCUUUAAAAAUGUUAGGACUAUUACAACUGCAGAUGACCAAAGGUUUUAUUUGUACCUUUAGCAUUAACAUAUGUAAAAAUACACAUUGUAUCUGACCUGUUUAAUAGUCUGUUUCUAUUUCCUGAAGUCAUGGGUAAUGAUUUCACUCAGAAACCAGGGGUUACUUAGCACUGCCAAAAUAGACCAGUUUCAUUAGCUUAAUGAAAAUUGUUCAAAGGCAAGACCUUCAGCAGCUAU